rnacentral:rRNA from 1 species
GACGAACGCUGGCGGCGUGCUUAACACAUGCAACUCGAACGGAAAGGCCCUGCUUUUGUGGGGUGCUCGAGUGGCGAACGGGUGAGUAACACGUGAGUAACCUGCCCUUGACUUUGGGAUAACUUCAGGAAACUUGGGCUAAUACCGGAUAGUAGCUCCUGCUGCAUGGUGGGGGUUGGAAAGUUUCGGCGGUUGGGGAUGGACUCGCGGCUUAUCAGCUUGUUGGUGGGGUAGUGGCUUACCAAGGCUUUGACGGGUAGCCGGCCUGAGAGGGUGACCGGCCACAUUGGGACUGAGAUACGGCCCAGACUCCUACGGGAGGCAGCAGUGGGGAAUAUUGCACAAUGGGCGGAAGCCUGAUGCAGCAACGCCGCGUGCGGGAUGACGGCCUUCGGGUUGUAAACCGCUUUCGCCUGUGACGAAGCGUGAGUGACGGUAAUGGGUAAAGAAGCACCGGCUAACUACGUG